AGACGGGCAUCCAUCAGAGUUCAAACUUCUGCGUCUUGAUAUAACUUUAAACCUUACACAAAUAUAUGCUGAAGUCAUCUUCGUUCCAUAGUUGCACUCAUACAGAUCACAAUGUACGAUAUUCAAAAUUCAGAUAAUUCAUGCUCAUGCCUACGCUAAUGUAAGAGUUGGGUCGAGUCAGAAAAAUAAAUUAUGUCAUGCUUUUACGCAUUGUUACCGACAGUAUUUGCUCUGCAUCGCUCGAUUACGUCUAACUGCGUCGGUAUCGAAACGGGGCAGCUGAGAAUGAUAUGUUACGCAAUAAAUGAUACGCUGUGGCUUAACGAUUUUUCAGAUAGCACGAAUGCCAGCAAUCGUGCAAAGUAGGAGUCCAAAGGGGGACAUGGUUGGUGUGGUUGGGUGAAAGCAACGUGUCAUUGUGGUUAAAAAAGAUGAAUCAGUAUACAUGUGAUAUAACUGUCAAAGCCAGAAUGUUAAAAGGUACGUAGAGAGCACAAAUUUUUGUUCUUUUUUUUUCCGCCAUAUUCAAUGUGUUGCGUUGGAACUGUUUACAGCAUACAUCCCUCCCAAGGCAUGCUGGGGGGAUCUCCUAUCAGGCAGCUUGGAAACUUCCAGACGCCGAUAUGCCUUACGUUUGGUGCAGCCGAGGUUAUGAACUUUCAAGUGGAAUAUGCCCCUUGAGGAAAACAAUUAGGACCCACUGUCCAGCAAAGAGGUUGCAGAAUCAGUAACUGACAUACUGACUGAUGAAACAUGAUGGUGCGUGCAGCAAGAGAGGGUUUGACUGCAGAUCCCGACCACCUGCUUCUGUAAAUUUGUACUAACCACAGUUGAAAAC